AAGCCGAUGAUGAUGAAAUCGAUUGGAAUUACCGUCUGAGUUAAUACUCUUUGAUGUAAAAUUUCUUGGCUGUGGUACUGAGGCUUCAC